GAUGAACGCUGGCGGCGUGCCUAAUACAUGCAAGUCGAGCGAACGGACGAGAAGCUUGCUUCUCUGAUGUUAGCGGCGGACGGGUGAGUAACACGUGGAUAACCUACCUAUAAGAAUGGGAUAACUUCGGGAAACCGGAGCUAAAACCGGAUAAUAUUUUGAACCGCAUGGUCCAAAAGUGAAAGACGGUCUUGCUGUCACUUACAGAUGGAUCCGCGCUGCAUUAGCUAGUUGGUAAGGUAACGGCUUACCAAGGCAACGAUGCAUAGCCGACCUGAGAGGGUGAUCGGCCACACUGGAACUGAGACACGGUCCAGACUCCUACGGGAGGCAGCAGUAGGGAAUCUUCCGCAAUGGGCGAAAGCCUGACGGAGCAACGCCGCGUGAGUGAUGAAGGUCUUCGGAUCGUAAAACUCUGUUAUUAGGGAAGAACAUAUGUGUAAGUAACUGUGCACAUCUUGACGGUACCUAAUCAGAAAGCCACGGCUAACUACGUG
rnacentral:rRNA from 1 species